UACGUAGGUGGCAAGCGUUGUCCGGAUUUAUUGGGCGUAAAGCGCGCGCAGGCGGUUUCUUAAGUCUGAUGUGAAAGCCCUCGGCUUAACCGAGGAGGGUCAUUGGAAACUGGGAGACUUGAGUGCAGAAGAGGAAAGUGGAAUUCCCGGUGUAGCAGUGAAAUGCGUAGAUAUCGGGAGGAAUACCGAUGGCGAAGGCAGGUCUCUGGGCUGACACUGACGCUCAUGCACGAAAGCGUGGGGAGCAAACAGG
rnacentral:rRNA from 1 species